AACGAACGCUGGCGGCAUGCCUAACACAUGCAAGUCGAACGAGAUCCUUCGGGGUCUAGUGGCGCACGGGUGCGUAACGCGUGGGAAUCUGCCCUUAGGUUCGGAAUAACAGUUAGAAAUGACUGCUAAUACCGGAUGAUGACGUUAAGUCCAAAGAUUUAUCGCCUGAGGAUGAGCCCGCGUAGGAUUAGCUAGUUGGUGUGGUAAAGGCGCACCAAGGCGACGAUCCUUAGCUGGUCUGAGAGGAUGAUCAGCCACGCUGGGACUGAGACACGGCCCAGACUCCUACGGGAGGCAGCAGUGGGGAAUAUUGGACAAUGGGCGCAAGCCUGAUCCAGCAAUGCCGCGUGAGUGAUGAAGGCCUUAGGGUUGUAAAGCUCUUUUACCCGGGAUGAUAAUGACAGUACCGGGAGAAUAAGCCCCGGCUAACUCCGUG
rnacentral:rRNA from 1 species